rnacentral:rRNA from 1 species
CCCUUAGAUGUUCUGGGCUGCACCCGUGCUACACUGGCAGGUUCAGCGAGCUUCAUGCCCUGAUCUGAAAGGAAUGGGAAAUCUUUUCAAAACCUGCCGUGCUUGGGAUAGAUGUUUGCAAUUAUUCAUCUUCAACGAGGAUUGCCUUGUAAGCGCACGUCAUCAGCGUGCAUUGAAUACGACCCUGUAUUCUGUACACACCGCCCGUCGCUCCUACCGAUUGAAGUUUUCGGUGAGUUGACAGGAGGAUUUUCUUGAAACUGGUUCGCCAGUGGAUUUUAGAUCCAAAUGCCAACGAAUCGAUGGCUUUAGAGGAAGGAGAAGUCGUAACA